rnacentral:rRNA from 1 species
AUUGAACGCUGGCGGCAGGCCUAACACAUGCAAGUCGAGCGGAUGAAGGGAGUUUGCUCCUGGAUUCACCGGCGGACGGGUGAGUAAUGCCUAGGAAUCUGCCUGGUAGUGGGGGAUAACGUCCGGAAACGGGCGCUAAUCCCGCAUACGUCCUGAGGGAGAAAGUGGGGGAUCUUCGGACCUCACGCUAUCAGAUGAGCCUAGGUCGGAUUAGCUAGUUGGUGGGGUAAAGGCCUACCAAGGCGACGAUCCGUAACUGGUCUGAGAGGAUGAUCAGUCACACUGGAACUGAGACACGGUCCAGACUCCUACGGGAGGCAGCAGUGGGGAAUAUUGGACAAUGGGCGAAAGCCUGAUCCAGCCAUGCCGCGUGUGUGAAGAAGGUCUUCGGAUUGUAAAGCACUUUAAGUUGGGAGGAAGGGCAGUAAGUUAAUACCUUGCUGUUUUGACGUUACCAACAGAAUAAGCACCGGCUAACUUCGUG